rnacentral:rRNA from 1 species
GUUUGACGUUAGCAACAGAAGAAGCACCGGCUAACUCCGUGCCAGCAGCCGCGGUAAUACGGAGGGUGCGAGCGUUAAUCGGAAUUACUGGGCGUAAAGCGCAUGCAGGUGGUUUGUUAAGCAAGAUGUGAAAGCCCGGGGCUCAACCUCGGAACAGCAUUUUGAACUGGCAGACUAGAGUACUGUAGAGGGGGGUAGAAUUUCAGGUGUAGCGGUGAAAUGCGUAGAGAUCUGAAGGAAUACCGGUGGCGAAGGCGGCCCCCUGGACAGAUACUGACACUCAGAUGCGAAAGCGUGGGGAGCAAACAGGAUUAGAUACCCUGGUAGUCCACGCCGUAAACGAUGUCUACUUGGAGGUUGUGGCCUUGAGCCGUGGCUUUCGGAGCUAACGCGUUAAGUAGACCGCCUGGGGAGUACGGUCGCAAGAUUAAAACUCAAAUGAAUUGACGGGGGCCCGCACAAGCGGUGGAGCAUGUGGUUUAAUUCGAUGCAACGCGAAGAACCUUACCUACUCUUGACAUCCAGAGAACUUUCCAGAGAUGGAUUGGUGCCUUCGGGAACUCUGAGACAGGUGCUGCAUGGCUGUCGUCAGCUCGUGUUGUGAAAUGUUGGGUUAAGUCCCGCAACGAGCGCAACCCUUAUCCUUGUUUGCCAGCAC